rnacentral:rRNA from 1 species
UGGGGAAUUUUGGACAAUGGGCGCAAGCCUGAUCCAGCAAUGCCGCGUGCAGGAAGAAGGCCUUCGGGUUGUAAACUGCUUUUGUCAGGGAAGAAAUCUUCUGGGUUAAUACCUCGGGAGGAUGACGGUACCUGAAGAAUAAGCACCGGCUAACUACGUGCCAGCAGCCGCGGUAAUACGUAGGGUGCGAGCGUUAAUCGGAAUUACUGGGCGUAAAGCGUGCGCAGGCGGCUUUGCAAGACAGAUGUGAAAUCCCCGGGCUCAACCUGGGAACUGCAUUUGUGACUGCAAGGCUAGAGUACGGCAGAGGGGGAUGGAAUUCCGCGUGUAGCAGUGAAAUGCGUAGAUAUGCGGAGGAACACCAAUGGCGAAGGCAAUCCCCUGGGCCUGUACUGACGCUCAUGCACGAAAGCGUGGGGAGCAAACAGG